UACAGAGGGGGCAAGCGUUGUUCGGAAUUACUGGGCGUAAAGGGCGCGUAGGCGCCUUCUAAGUCGAACGUGAAAUCCCUGGGCUCAACCCAGGAACUGCGUCCGAUACUGGAAGGCUUGAAUCCGGGAGAGGGAUGCGGAAUUCCAGGUGUGAGCGGUGAAAUGCGUAGAUAUCUGGAGGAACACCGGUGGCGAAGGCGGCAUCCUGGACCGGCAUUGACGCUGAGGCGCGGAAAGCCAGGGGAGCAA
rnacentral:rRNA from 1 species